UCCCCUAAAGAGGGGUAAGAAGCUUUGGGCUUCAACGGGUCCUUGACAGUAAGGACCUAGGGAAGGGCCCUUUUCAAAAGUCAGUGUUAUGGUUGUAGCCAUUUAACCAACACACUUGGGGCCCUGUGUGUGUGUUUUUGCAAGGACAAGAUCCAUGACGGAUUUAUUUUACAAGAGAAAGAGCCCUGUAGAAGUAUUUCAUUUGUUGUGAUCCUUUCUUUACAAACCACUCAGAGAAUUUACCCUGAGAGCUGACAAUCCAGGUCACAUUUGAUUGGGUGUUUGAUCAUUUUGUGAAACUUUUCGGAAACCACGAGGAACCGCCCUUAGGUCAAAACGCUGUAGGGUACAAAAAACCAGGUUCCCAGGAGGAUGGAGACAGACCCCACCCCUCGAAUGUACCUUUUGACCUUGGAGACCUGCUUUGGACCUGGGUACAGCCUGCACAAGACCUACACCCUUCCCCGGAAUGUGGAGCAGAGAUUAACCGCCUACAAGGAUUCACUGCCCUCUGUCACAGGACUCGACCACCUACCCCUCCCCACCUACUCCGCCCUUGAACUUCCGCUCCUCCUUCUUGUCGUUCUUGCCACAAGUUCCCGCCAUGAACUCCCGGCACAGAUUCCUGCCACGGAUCCUUUAUAAGCUUGGAACCUGCUCACAGUCAGGGCUGGUGCCAUCUUGAGCUCAGCCCGUGCCCCUCUGAUGCCUUCAUAAAUCUCUUUUGCUUUACCAGCUAGGCCUUGUGCAUUCUUCCCUUGGCAAACCUAACACCUAUAAUUUUGUUGUCUGUAUAUAAAUAUGAGUUUUCGAACAGUCAUUUUUCUACGUAUAGAACAUGUAUCAUUUUUUGACUGUCUUAAAAAUGAAGCUGAACAUUUUCACUUAUCAGCUUCGUGAUGCUUCUACUCAAAAUAAAUCUGAUUACUUCUUCCAAAUUGAGUCUUUUGGUGGGGGUGGUUCUGGUUUUUUGUUUUUGCUUUUUGCUUUUGUAAUGAUUUUUAUUUUUUCCAUUAUACCUGGUUUACAGUGUUCUGUCAAUUUUCUGUUGCACAGCAAAGUGACCCAGUCACACAUACAUGUAUACAUUCUUUUUUCUCACAUUAUCAUGCUCCAUCACAAGUGACCAGACAUAGUUCCUAGUGCUAUACAGCAGGAUCCCAUAGGAACUGAGUCGUUUUUCCUUUGAUUAAUGUCAAUCUUCCAAAAAUUCCUUCAGGGGCUUUUUUUUUUUUUUUUUUUU